rnacentral:misc_RNA from 1 species
GCAGGCCCUGGCCCUGGGU